rnacentral:rRNA from 1 species
UGAGGAAUAUUGGACAAUGGAGGCAACUCUGAUCCAGCCAUGCCGCGUGAAGGACUAAGGCCCUAUGGGCUGUAAACUUCUUUAGACGCAGAGCAAUAAGGGCCACGCGUGGUCCGAUGAGAGUAUGCGUAGAAUAAGCAUCGGCUAACUACGUGCCAGCAGCCGCGGUAAUACGUAGGUGGCAAGCGUUGUCCGGAUUUACUGGGUGUAAAGGGCGUGCAGCCGGGCCGACAAGUCAGAUGUGAAAUCCCGAGGCUUAACCUCGGAACUGCAUUUGAAACUGUUGGUCUUGAGUAUCGGAGAGGUCAUCGGAAUUCCUUGUGUAGCGGUGAAAUGCGUAGAUAUAAGGAAGAACACCAGUGGCGAAGGCGGAUGACUGGACGACAACUGACGGUGAGGCGCGAAAGUGUGGGGAGC